rnacentral:rRNA from 1 species
UACGAAGGGGGCAAGCGUUGUUCGGAAUUACUGGGCGUAAAGGGCGCGUAGGCGGUGCGAUAAGUCCCGUGUGAAAUCCCUCGGCUCAACCUCGGAACUGCCUCUGAUACAGCAAGUCUUGAGUCCGGAAGAGGUGGGUGGAAUUCCUAGUGUAGAGGUGAAAUUCGUAGAUAUUAGGAAGAACACCAGUGGCGAAGGCGGCCCACUGGUCCGGUACUGACGCUGAGGUGCGAAAGCGUGGGGAGCAAACAGG